AGAAGAGAAGAGAAGAGAAGAGAAGAGAAGAGAAGAGAAGAGAAGAAAGGAAGGAAGGAAGGAAGGAAGGAAGGAAGGAAGGAAGGAAGGAAGGAGAAAAAAUGCGGUAAUCCUAGCACCAGUGAUGCAGAAACAGGAUCAUUUCCAAACACUUGAGAUGAUAUAUGCAUGGAUGGUGCCCUCUUAUUGUCCUGAGACCUCAGGGAGCUCCAGAUGAUAGCUAUGGAUUUUACGUGGAUACCAGUGACUAAUGAACCAAGGGGACUAAGGGAGGAAGCUGAGACCCAGCCAUAUUCACACUCAGGAAUUCCUGAAGAUGGAAGGGUCAUCACACCGGAGUUUCAUGAUGGAGG
rnacentral:lncRNA from 1 species